rnacentral:snoRNA from 1 species
UAUGUGAUGACAUUCAAAAUCCCAAGCCAUCUGAAUGCAGUGAUUGAUGCAUCUGGCUGAAG